UCAAGUUUAGCUUAAAUGUUUGUCCUCUUACAAAGUUGGACAUUUGAAUCGUUGGCUAUUAUAUAGUAGAGAUAAAUUGCAACAUAUUUAUACUCUUAAAGAGGUAUGUGAUUAAGGUGCCCCAAGAAGUCCUUACGGUCUUAUCACAGAGCUCUGCGGAAGAGCAUUUGAAAAGAAGUUCACACUUCCUUGCGGAUGUUAUUAAACUUGCCCAAAGGUGGCGUUGAACCAGGGAUCUCUAGUUUCUGAGUAUAAAACUAUGGAAAGUGGAACGUAAACCAAUCUUAAAACAUGGCACAAUAUCUAAAUUGGGUGAAAGUUCCAUUUUAGAAAACUGCUUUAAACCACUUUGCGCAAUUGAAUUCUCAACUAGAAAGAAUAAAAUAAAAUUAAUUAGUUUAUUGUUGAUGUAAAAUGAAAGACAACGAGAAAUAAAUUCAUUGAAGAAAAUCCCAAUAAAAGACACGGAAAUUAAAAAGCUUCUGGGAUAUGUUAGGAAAGAAAUGAACUUACUUAAGAAGAUAGCCUUAAAAAAACUUUUGAACGAAUUAAUUUUUUUAUCACAUUAUCGCCACUUAGCAAAGACUUUUAAUGGAAACAAAUUCAAGGUUGACGUUUUUUCAUGUUGGCUAAUAAACUAAAAACCAUUCAUUUCUCUGCAAAUAGAAUCUCAAAAAGAUCGAUGUAAAUUACGAAAACUACAAGUAAAACAUUACGUAACAAAAAUUUGAAAAGUUUAGGUUAUCUACAAAGCAAAUAUGACGCGUAAAAUAACAAAAAUGAUACAGGUACGCCCUUUAACAAUAUUAACAACCUUUUUUUGAAUAACAGGAUUACACUCUUCAAGUAGAAUCAAAUGAAUGGUCAAAUGUAAGUAUAAAGUUUAUUGCUGAUAAAAAGCAUAGUUUUCAUCAUGAAAAACCAGUUAUUUUUUCCACACACAACUGCGUUUACGGAAGAGAUGGUUUUUGAGGUUGACAACAAAAUGCAGCAAAUCAGUUGAUAGUGAUAUUUGAUCAAAAUUUU
rnacentral:lncRNA from 1 species